CGGAGGGGGCUAGCGUUGUUCGGAAUUACUGGGCGUAAAGCGUACGUAGGCGGCUUUGUAAGUUAGAGGUGAAAGCCCGGGGCUCAACCCCGGAAUUGCCUUUAAGACUGCAUCGCUUGAAUCAUGGAGAGGUGAGUGGAAUUCCGAGUGUAGAGGUGAAAUUCGUAGAUAUUCGGAAGAACACCAGUGGCGAAGGCGACUCACCGGACAUGUAUUGACGCUGAGGUGCGAAAGCGUGGGGAGCAAACAGGACUAGAUACCCUGGUAGUCCACGCCGUAAACGAUGGGCACUAGGUGCUCCGGGGAGCGACCCUUGGAGUACCGGCGCUAACGCAUGAAGUGCCCCGCCUGGGGAGUACGGCCGCAAGGCUG
rnacentral:rRNA from 1 species